CUCUUGUUAUCUGAUGCAACCAAGAAUCAAUAAUAAAGAAAUGGUGAAUAUUUGUUAUAAUGUCCUGAGGCUCAGCAUUAGUGACAAGGAUAUUUCUAACUACCAACUAAUAAAUGGAUCUUGAUUUAAUGAAAAUUGUGUAUUAAGGGGUCCUGUUCUGUCAACCAAAGGGGAUUCGAUUCGAUCUGUCCUGUUCAUGUCAUGAAAUGCUUCAUUUCACCCUUCCUCAAAGCAAUUGAUGCCAGCUAGCCCUAGACCUCCACAAUUAAGGGGACCAGCAGGAAGCAAUCUGUUAUUAGUGAUCAUUGGAAGGAAUAAGGAUCAGCCCCAAAAUGAGUUAAUUGAUCUUCUAGUAAGACACAGGCUUCAAAAUUGGCUGGUAGUAGGAACACCCAGGCCACCAGCACCACUGAGCCACCCCAGAUGGUUGUUUCAGUGGUUGGGAACCAACCAUAAGCUGAACUUGUGAGACACUUCAUCAAGAUUUCUGCACUUGAGCCGAAGAAGCUGGAGUAUUAAUUCCUCGGAUGUUUG